CCUACGGGAGGCAGCAGUGGGGAAUCUUGCGCAAUGGGCGAAAGCCUGACGCAGCCAUGCCGCGUGUAUGAUGAAGGUCUUAGGAUUGUAAAAUACUUUCACCGGUGAAGAUAAUGACUGUAGCCGGAGAAGAAGCCCCGGCUAACUUCGUGCCAGCAGCCGCGGUAAUACGAAGGGGGCUAGCGUUGCUCGGAAUUACUGGGCGUAAAGGGAGCGUAGGCGGACAUUUAAGUCAGAGGUGAAAUCCCGGAGCUUAACUUCGGAACUGCCUUUGAUACUGGGUGUCUUGAGUGUGAGAGAGGUAUGUGGAACUCCGAGUGUAGAGGUGAAAUUCGUAGAUAUUCGGAAGAACACCAGUGGCGAAGGCGACAUACUGGCUCAUUACUGACGCUGAGGCUCGAAAGCGUGGGGAGCAAACAGGAUUAGAUACCCUGGUAGUCCACGCCGUAAACGAUGAUUGCUAGUUGUCGGGAAGCUUGCUUCUCGGUGACGCAGCUAACGCAUUAAGCAAUCCGCCUGGGGAGUACGGUCGCAAGNUUAAAACUCAAAUGAAUUGACGGCUGAGACGNGCGAGACGACACGAGGAGAG
rnacentral:rRNA from 1 species